rnacentral:rRNA from 1 species
UAGGGAAUCUUCCGCAAUGGGCGAAAGCCUGACGGAGCAACGCCGCGUGAGUGAUGAAGGUCUUCGGAUCGUAAAACUCUGUUAUUAGGGAAGAACAAAUGUGUAAGUAACUAUGCACGUCUUGACGGUACCUAAUCAGAAAGCCACGGCUAACUACGUGCCAGCAGCCGCGGUAAUACGUAGGUGGCAAGCGUUAUCCGGAAUUAUUGGGCGUAAAGCGCGCGUAGGCGGUUUUUUAAGUCUGAUGUGAAAGCCCACGGCUCAACCGUGGAGGGUCAUUGGAAACUGGAAAACUUGAGUGCAGAAGGGGAAAGUGGAAUUCCAUGUGUAGCAGUGAAAUGCGCAGAAAUAUGGAGGAACACCAGUGGCGAAGGCGACUUUCUGGUCUGUAACUGACGCUGAUGUGCGAAAGCGUGGGGAUCAAACAGG